UACAGAGGGUGCGAGCGUUAUUCGGAAUUACUGGGCGUAAAGCGUGCGUAGACGGUAGCGUAAGUCAGAUGUGAAAGCCCCGGGCUCAACCUGGGAAUUGCAUUUGAGACUGCUCUGCUCGGGUGCGGAAGAGGGAAGCGGAAUUUCCGGUGUAGCGGUGAAAUGCGUAGAUAUCGUAAGGAAGACCAGUGGCGAAGGCGGGUCUCUGGACAGUUCCUGACGCUGAGGCACGAAGGUCAGGGGAGCAAACGGG
rnacentral:rRNA from 1 species